UACGUAGGUGGCAAGCGUUAUCCGGAUUUACUGGGUGUAAAGGGCGUGUAGGCGGGACUGCAAGUCAGAUGUGAAAACCACGGGCUCAACCUGUGGCCUGCAUUUGAAACUGUAGUUCUUGAGUACUGGAGAGGCAGACGGAAUUCCUAGUGUAGCGGUGAAAUGCGUAGAUAUUAGGAGGAACACCAGUGGCGAAGGCGGCGAUCUGGGGUGCAACUGACGCUCAGUCCCGAAAGCGUGGGGAGCAAAUAGG
rnacentral:rRNA from 1 species